ACCGCCUCAGUGAAACAAGCUGGCAGCACUAUGGGAUGCCAAGUCUGCUCCUGCGAUCGCCCACCUCCUAACACCACGCCAAGGGUUGCCCACCACUCUAGAAAGAUAGGUUCAAACUCUCCCUGAGGAAGACCCCAAUCUGACCCUGGACUAAAGAGAGAAAGAAGGGCCUGAGGGACAACCUUUCUUAUCAUGAACUGAAACCCACAAUCCAGUUCUUCUUUUUUUUUUUUUAAACUAAAUUGCUAAUUUAAUAGGAUUUACAGAAUGUGGGCUUUUCUGAUUCUCUUGCUUUCCAUAUUCUUAGUCAACAGUCUUCUAUACAGUAGAACAGCCAUCAUUUGGACCUAUUUGGCUUCCUUAAGAUACAUUUUUAGGAAGAUUUUGGGAAGUUUGGAUGUUUAAUUUGCUCCUCAAACACAAUUUUCAAACUAGGAAGUGAGUGUUCUAUGACUUCAAAUGAGAACUCGCUCAACAGAUUUUUUUAAAAACGCUUUUGAGUCAUUCAAAAGCUGUUUCUACCUCCUUCUUUGCAGGUCUCAGAAUUCCUGGGAGGCCUUUUGUUUUCCUAAUGAGAAAUGGUGGAGCAGUGGAUGUGCUGACACUGUCUCUCCUCUUGCUGUGCCUUCCAUGCAGAUGCCUGAAGCCUUGGAGGAGCUGAAUGGUAGAGUUUCCUGUGUCUUCCAGUGGAGAAGAAAACACCAUCCAGAAUCCUUGCUCAAUCACAGAUGAGUGCUUGACACAAGUGUCAUGUUGUCUGUCAUCUGACCCAUGGGGGCUUCCUCCUCCCUUCACCUUCUUUCCCUGAUGUCGGAAGUCCUGGGGUGCUAAACCCUGCCUGUGCGUCUUCUGCCAAGCUGUUGACUGUUGGCAUCUUUAUUCACCACCAGCCCAGAUCUUUAUUUUUCUUUGCACGUGCUUUCAAUUCCCAUGAUCCUUCUGUAUCCUGCUUACUGAGGCCUUUAGUGCCCCAUUUUCCCCAAUAUGUCCCACAAUCCAGUUCUUUAAAGUCCUUUGGAAAUUUCCUGGCAAAACCAGGUAGUAUAAAGCCAGGCACAGGUAAUAUCACCUAUAAGUGAACAGUAUUUAUCAGCAUCUUAAAGCCUGAAUUUCAGUAGCCCAUUACUGCUGGGACAGGAUGUAGGAAUAAGGCAACCAAAUACUUUUCCUCCAGGCUAGCAGUUUCCCACCUGUAAGCACGAGCCUUCAGGAGAGAGAUGGCUCACAUUGCUCUCCUGUGAGUCUGGGUCUUGGACCAGGCAGGCUAUGGUGGGGCGGUGGGGGGCUUGGAGUUGCCACCUAGGGGCCAUUUGAAUGACAAGACUGGCUCUUAUGGAGUGACCACCAAAAGAACUACUUAUUGGGGGGAAGCUAGAGAUCCACCGGUGUGUUAGGCCCUUGCCUCUAACCCUCACACCACCUGCAUCCUGAGGACCGAGGGAGCCUGUGACCUCUGCCCUCUGUUCUUGCCCAGGUUCUUGGAGUGGGGACAAGUUUAACGAUGACUUUAGCACCCCUCCAGCUAGGCAGGUUAGGAGAUUCCAAUCUCUCUCACAGCCAAGGAAACCAAGUGGGGAGGGAUCUUUCUCUGCAGCUACAUAAUCCUGGAUUACAGUGAUAACCCCUUCAUCUCAGGUAAACGGAUCAAGGAAAAGGACUGGAGACAGACCUGACAAGCUCUGGGCUGCAGGCAGGGAAGGGAAAGUAGGCAGCAUGCAAAAGGGGUCGCUUUGACAGUCAAGGACAGACAUUACUACUGCUGCCCUGAGAAGUGUGGAGGAAGAGUGGGUCUGAACUGGCUGUAGAUCGAGGGUUUGUGAAGGCACACCCUUCUUCAGUCCAUAGGCCACCCACAGAAUGAAACCUAAAGAAGGGGUUUGCAGUGUGCUCCAGGAAUCCUCACCCCUGGACUAUCCCUGCCCACAAGUGUCAUCUGGUGAGUGCCCUCAGGGGUAAGUCUCAGUUUCUUCAAAGGCUAACAAGGGCUCAGCUGUUAGAAAUAGUCCCUCCAAAGACAGUAAAUUCCACAAAUGUUAGCCCGCAUUACUGUUGUGUCUAUUAUUAGUCCUAGUGUUACUCCCACCCCUUCGCUCUGGGUCGGGGAUCCCUGCACAUGAACUAAGGUCAUCUGCCAGUGAGGCUACACUGCGGCUGGCAAGGAGAAGCCAUGGAUAGAAGUGAAGUCGGGGGGAGCUUGAGAGGGCUUACUGGGUUUGCUCCAGACCUGCAAAAGCCUUUGAUGGGCUCUGUGGAAAAGGUGACUCCCACAGCACAGGGGGCAGGAAGAUGCUGGCAGGGAGCAGAGGAAAGCCAAUGCCCUUCUCUACACAGAGGAGGAAGAAAGGGCUCCUAAGAAAAGGCCAUUGGCAGGUCAGAACUUAACACCAGUAAUGUAUCCUUCCAGAGAGGGCAGACCAGCUUUGUGCCACGUUCCCAAAGAAUGAAGAUACAUUCCUCACUGAGGCCCAGGACACGACCAGUUGUAUUCCUGUACUACCCCCAAGGAGUUCCACACCCAAGCCCAGUAGCUUCACAAUAACCCUAUGGACUAGAAGGUAACUAUGACGUCUCCAUUUCUCCUGUUAAAAGAGGUAGAAGCCUGCGCAGGGGAAGAGGCCUCCAGGACACUGAGCAGAUGGGGAACUGAAGCAUAGAGAAAUUACAUCACAUAGAUGCCACAGGGGGAGCCAAGUUUGUAACCAGAACCUUGCCAUUCCAAGCCAGGACUCUUCAAGGACAGUGAGCCUUUAACUGCACGCCCUGGUUCUCAGAUAUUUGUUGACUUCCUCUGCUGUCUCAGGGACUCGAAGCACCACAAACUGUGAGCCUGAGGAAUUUCCACCAGCACUGAAGCGGGAGGGCACAGGCUAUACACUUCUGUUGGAGCUUCAGGUCAGUCUAGCACUUAGCAUGUAGAUUGUUUGCAGGAAGAGCUGAAUGGGGGGAAGGCGUUGUGUGGGAAGGGGUAUCACUGGCAAGCUGGAGCUCAGAAUGAGCAGAGGGUAGCAGGAGGACAAUGCAUCUGAGAAAGAGUAGUGUGUGGAUGUGUAAAUGUGCCUGGUGAAACAAACAUAGCCCCUCACCACUCUCUAAGAAGUCUUUGGACAGAGCAUAGUGCCGUUCCCUUCAGCACCUCCCCUCCCCCGCAACCCAAGAUUCUCCACUGUGCUCGGAACCCCUUGCUUCAAUCCACUCAGUCAACGAUCCUGCCACUGACACCUUCCUUCAUGCACUGAAGCCUCGAUCUUUCUUAUGAGCCUGUUGGGAGAUAAAAGCUCUUGGGAGGUAAUUAGGUCACAAGGCUGGGUCCCCAUGAUGGUGUGAUAAAUGAGAGUAGAUGUAAACCAGGAGCAGAGUCCUCACCAGACCCCGGUCACACUGCCUCCCCAAUGUGCAGCCGUCAGGACUGUGAGAAAGAAGUGACUGUUCUUCAGCCAUACAGUCCAUUCUACCUCUUUUUUGUUUGUUUGUUUGUUUGUUUGUUUGAGGCAGAGUCUGCUAUAGCCCAGGUCGGCCUUUAACUCUCAUGAGUUAUAGACAUCCUGCUGCUACCGCACUGGUGGUGCAGGGGCGCUCCAUAGCAUCCUGCAUCUGCCACACUCAUCGGAAGCAUCCUGCCCUUGUCCUAACAUCCUGCUCAGUCUGAUGACCACACAGGUUUUCCCAUUAGAAAACCCACAGUGGUAGCAUUUGUCUGAUCCUUGCUGUGUCCCUGGCUACACAAAAGGUGUGGAUGGCUAAGAAAGGAAGGAAGGAUGGAUGGAUGGAAGGAAGGAAGGAAGGAAGGAAGGAAGGAAGGAAGGAAGGAAGGAAGGGCUGGCUGCUUGCCAGGUAAGCUUGGGUUGCUUUCAAGGGCUUUGAGUGUCCGUUGAGAAUAGCCAGUCCUGCCCUCAACUCUGAGAAUGGUCAGGGUAGGCAUUCAGGUUCUGACUGAUAUGCACAGGACCCUACCUACACUUGCCUGGGACUUCUCACACUGUCCCUCUCCCUCACAAGGCCAUUGAACAUAGACAGCAGAGCUGAACUCACAUCCCAGUUCUGAGAUAGGCUGGAAAUUCAGAGAUGAAACAGAUAUCAGCCAUGAGUGUGUGGGGAUCCUGUGAGACCAGCUGAAGCAAAAGAGAAAGGCCCAGGAUGGGUUAGUUCUGCCUGUGGAUGACGCAAGCUACCAUGAGAAGAGGACCCAGCACCCACAUGGCAGCUCACAAUCAUCUGUAAUCCAGUUCCGGAGGACCCAGCAUCCUGUGUGGGUGCCUGGCACACACAUGGUACGCAUGCAGCAUAGGCAAAACACGUAAAAUGCAAAUACAUUUUAAAACGAGAGAAUAUAUGAAAGGAUAACAGUGCCGUGAGGGCUCCAGGGUGGAGGGAAGUUGGCUCACCUUCGCUGCCCAGAGCUCUUUUCUUCCCCUCACAUGCAUAGCUUUGUUGUCUCAUACCCGGUGUCGAGCCCUCUUACCCACCUUCCUUUGCGCUCACCUUGCUGUUUUAAGCCCGGCCUCUGCUUGCACUGCAACCUAUGUGAGCAGUCUGCAGUUUUCACUACAGGCCCUUUCUCUUGCUAUGUACGGAGAGCUGGAUCCUGCGUUGCUCUCUCCUGAUCUAGUGUAGAGGAUGUUCCACGAGCCAAUGCUAUGUUCCGCGCACUGACAUAUAGCCCGCGGCUGUUGGACCGGAUGUCCUGCAGGUGUCUGUAAGGUCCAUUUGGCCUGGGGACCAAUUGUACCCUGGAGUUUGUUGCCUUUGUGCUUGUCUGACUGGCCCAUUGAUGAAAGUGGGUUGCUCACCUGCUUUGUAUGGGAGUCUCUCUCUUCCCUUACGUCUACUGAUACACGCCUCAUAUCUGAUUGCUUUCUUCAUCCCCUAGAGUGGUGAAGUAAUUUACUCUAGUAGUGUGUUCUGAUUUAUUGUGAUAUUUGGGUUGUCUCCUAUGGCUUUUUGCUUUCUGGUUACUAUGAGGCUGACAAGGACCUAUGUGGGUAGCAAUACAAUUUUUUAAAAUAAAAGUUUAACAUUACCAUAAA
rnacentral:sRNA from 1 species